rnacentral:rRNA from 1 species
UACGUAUGGAGCAAGCGUUAUCCGGAUUUACUGGGUGUAAAGGGAGUGUAGGUGGCCAUGCAAGUCAGAAGUGAAAAUCUGGGGCUCAACCCCGGAACUGCUUUUGAAACUGUGAGGCUGGAGUGCAGGAGGGGUGAGUGGAAUUCCUAGUGUAGCGGUGAAAUGCGUAGAUAUUAGGAGGAACACCAGUGGCGAAGGCGGCUCACUGGACUGUAACUGACACUGAGGCUCGAAAGCGUGGGGAGCAAACAGG